GACGAACGCUGGCGGCGCGCUUAACACAUGCAAGUCGAGCGAGAACCAGGGCUUCGGCCCUGGGGACAGCGGCGAACGGGUGAGUAACACGUGGAUAACCUGCCCUCGGCACCGGGAUAGCCCGGGGAAACCCGGAUUAAUACCGGGUGGCCCUUCCGGCUCACGAGCUGGUCGGAAAAGGUAGCUUCGGCCUCCGGCCGAGGAUGGUCCGCGGCGGAUUAGCUUGUUGGUGGGGUAACGGCCUACCAAGGCUCCGAUCCGUAGCUGGUCUGAGAGGACGAUCAGCCACACUGGGACUGAGACACGGCCCAGACUCCUACGGGAGGCAGCAGUGGGGAAUCUUGCGCAAUGGGCGAAAGCCUGACGCAGCGACGCCGCGUGAGGGAGGAAGGCCUUCGGGUUGUAAACCUCUUUCAGGAGGGACGAAGCUACUCGGGUGAAUAGCCCAGAGGGUGACGGUACCUCCAGAAGAAGCCCCGGCUAACUACGUGCCAGCCGCCGCGGUAA
rnacentral:rRNA from 1 species